CCUAGUAUAUAUUCUAAGGAGUGGAGUAGUCUCACAUUAUCUUUUUCUUUACAAGUUAAGGAUAACAUAUAGUUUAUAUUAAUUUAACCUGGAGUUCAGAUUCCUUUAGGCUAUAGUUUAUACUCAUACAGCUUGGAGUCAUUUAGACAUAAGUUGUUUCUUUUUUCAAUGUGAAGCUGGCAGUUUAUACUCAUGUAGCUUUGAAGUGAUUUGGUUUCAAGUAUUUUGACACGAGGUACGUGCACAGUAAGGCUCAUGUGGCCUUAGUGUAUUUUUUUAACAUGACACCAUAGUUUAUACUCGUCAGGGCUUGGAGUGCUUUGGACACACAUCAUAUCAGUGUUUGUACUCAUAAGUUGUUGGAGUUUUUGUUGGUUUGCUUCAAUAGGCCACCAGAUUGUGGUCUUGCAGUCCUAGAGUAAUUAUAAUCAUGUUUUUUUUUUGCAUGAGAAUUUAUUCUCCAAGAAUAUUGGAGUGUUUUUAUAUUGGUUUAUUUCACACCAGGCUACCAGAUUACGCCCCUGUGUGGCCUUGAGUAAUUUGUUUUUCUAAAUGUUGCUGCUAUGCGAGCAUGGGAGUAUUGUAUUAUCUUUAUUUUCACUUGAUCAAUCACUUUAGCUACUUGGCUUUAUGGGCACAUCGUGCGAUCAGUUUUGUUGUGCAAAUUGUUGCACGUAGUUUUCCAAAUUGUGGGCUGUAGAGGCCAAUUCACCACCGUGGUUGGUCGCACCACACUUUUUAGGUGUACAACCAUAUCGGAGAGCGGAUUAUUUACGCACAUCCUCGGUGAGUGGUUGACAAGAGUGAAGACUUAAAGUCUCAGAGUCUUAG
rnacentral:lncRNA from 1 species